rnacentral:piRNA from 1 species
UAGAAAUACAUGCAGGCACCCACCUGUUUGU